rnacentral:rRNA from 1 species
UAAGGAAUAUUGGUCAAUGGACGCAAGUCUGAACCAGCCAUGCCGCGUGAAGGAUGAAGGUCCUCUGGAUUGUAAACUUCUUUUAUCUGGGACGAAAACGGGAUUUUUAUCUCAAUUGACGGUACCAGAGGAAUAAGCACCGGCUAACUCCGUGCCAGCAGCCGCGGUAAUACGGAGGGUGCGAGCGUUAUCCGGAUUUACUGGGUUUAAAGGGUGCGUAGGUGGGCUUAUAAGUCAGUGGUGAGAUCUCCGAGCUUAACUUGGAAACUGCCGUUGAUACUGUAGGUCUUGAAUUAUCUGGAGGUAAGCGGAAUAUGUCAUGUAGCGGUGAAAUGCUUAGAUAUGACAUGGAACACCAAUUGCGAAGGCAGCUUACUAUGCGGUGAUUGACACUGAGGCACGAAAGCGUGGGUAGCAAACA